UUUUUUUUUUUUUUGGCCUUUUAUUAUUAUUUUUUCUUUCCGCCCCGCGCAGCCCCUUUGUGCCCCGUCCGUCGCGGCGCGGGGGGCUCGGGGCGGGGGUCCGGGGGUGGGGUGUGUGUGUGUGUGUGUGUGUGUGUGUGCAGGGGGGGGGACACGGAAAGUUUCCAGGCUCUCCUCGGGCACAGAAGUUUCUUUGUUCGGCCGGAGGAAGGCACUGAGCGGCUGCUGCUUCCAGACCUGCCCUGCGAAGCCGAGCCCUGCCAGCGCAGUGAAGUUCUGGGGCAACGAGGCGGUCCCGCAGGAGAAUGUUGGCUUUGAAAGCUCAGGGAAGAAGCAGCAGGGAGAAGAAAGUAACACAGUGGUAAGUACCAUAUUUUUCUUUCUUUUACACUACACAAAACAUUAAAACAUAGAUCCUGUUCUUUAUUCGUACACCAUAAUAAUCACCUCCUAAGCACUUGUAUUUUACUCUGCGUGAGCUCUUGUUCUGAAUGAAAUUUUUUGUUUGUUACAAGUAUCGGUUUAAGAGCCAAGCGAAUUAUGCUUAUUUACAUGGUAUUGUGUGCUUAUGCGUAUGUAUGUGUGUGUGAGUGUACAUAUAGAAAAGAGAAUAUAAAGGAAGCUAAGCUGCAGGAGAGUAAUUCUGUUUUGAAGGUUAAAGUCCAUUAUUAAAUGUUUUGGUUUGUGAAGGAUUAGCAUUUCAUACUGCUUUUUAAAAUAAAUUUAUUUAGUUCUUAGAAAAGAUGAGCACAUUUUCCAAAAAAUUUUGGAUAAACAAUGCUUGAAAAAAAAUGCUUCAUUUACUUGUUGGGACUCUUCCCAUCCAUUUUUCUGGUUUGCAUGGGAGAAUAUUGUAUCACAUAAUUUCUCUCUUCUUCGUAUAUUAACCUUCUUUACAUAGAUAUUAUACUUGAGAGUAUUGAAAUUAAGUCAAAUACAGUUCAUUUUUUUUGUUCAAAGCUCUGGAAAGGAAAUGUGUUCAGAAUCAGUUUCUUCUUUAAAUGAUGCCAGUGUGGAUGGCACUAAGUUGAUUUUUGCCUAAUAUUUUAAGGGUG
rnacentral:lncRNA from 1 species